rnacentral:rRNA from 1 species
GACGAACGCUGGCGGCGUGCUUAACACAUGCAAGUCGAACGGAAAGGCCCUGCUUUUGUGGGGUGCUCGAUUGGCGAACGGGUGAGUAACACGUGUGUAUCCUGCCCUUGUCUUUGGGAUAACUUCAGGAAACUGGGGCUAAUACCUGAUAGGAUCUCCUGCUGCAUGGUGGGGGUUGGAAAGUUUCGGCGGUUGGGGAUGGACUCGCUGCUUAUCAGCUUGUUGGUGGGGUAGUGGCUUACCAAGGCUUUGACGGGUAGCCGGCCUGAGAGGGUGACCGGGCACAAUGGGACUGAGGUACGGAGAAGAGUGCAACGGGAGGCAGCAGUGGGGAAUAUUGCACAAUGGGGGGAAGCCAGAUGCAGAAACGCCGCGUGCGGGAUGACGGCCUUCGGGUUGUAAACCGAUGUAGCAUGUGACGAAGCGUGAGUGACGGUAAUGGGUAAAGAAGCACCGGCUAACUACGUG